UCGCCGAUAGAUCGGCCCGCGUCCCAUCAGCUUGUUGGUGAGGUAACGGCUCACCAAGGCUACGACGGGUAGCUGGUCUGAGAGGAUGAUCAGCCACACUGGGACUGAGACACGGCCCAG
rnacentral:rRNA from 1 species